rnacentral:rRNA from 1 species
GAUGAACGCUAGCGAUAGGCCUAACACAUGCAAGUCGAGGGGCAGCACAUGAGGCAGCAAUGCUGAUGGUGGCGACCGGCGCACGGGUGAGUAACGCGUAUGCAACCUGCCUACAACAGGGGAAUAACCCGUUGAAAGACGGACUAAUACUCCAUAAAACAGGGGUCCCGCAUGGGAAUAUUUGUUAAAGAUUUAUCGGUUGUAGAUGGGCAUGCGUUCCAUUAGCUAGUUGGUGAGGUAACGGCUCACCAAGGCAACGAUGGAUAGGGGAACUGAGAGGUUGAUCCCCCACACUGGAACUGAGACACGGUCCAGACUCCUACGGGAGGCAGCAGUGAGGAAUAUUGGUCAAUGGACGAGAGUCUGAACCAGCCAAGUCGCGUGAAGGAAGACGGCCCUACGGGUUGUAAACUUCUUUUGUAAGGGAAUAAAUAGUCUUACGUGCUAAGACGUUGCAGGUACCUUACGAAUAAGGAUCGGCUAACUCCGUG